rnacentral:lncRNA from 13 species
AUUCACUACAUAAAUAGAUACACUGUAUAUCUGUGGCAUUAAAAUUGCAUAUGGAGGGAGUGGUAAGUAGAGAAAAUGUUCCAGAAAAGCUCCUUAGAGCCGUGGAAAUGAAAAAGUAAAUGAAGAAACAUUAUUUUAUUUUCAUCUGCACCUUAGUUCCCACAUCUGUAAAACUGGGAUAAUAAUCGCCCCUAAUUCAGAGUUGCUGCAAGAUUUAAACACAUUUGCAGAGCGCCUGGCUCACUGGAAGUGCUACAUACGUGUUAGCUAUUAUCGUGGUGGUUGUUCUUGAUGUUUUUGGAGUAUUUUGUAUGUGUUGGGAAAUUAAAGAGCACAGUUUUGGGGUCAGAUGAACGGGGUUUGGAGACUUUUCUUCAAAUUUGUAACUAUUCCAUUUUCUCAUCUGCAAAUAAAAUAAAACUACGUUGCGGAGUUGCUGUCCAGAUUAAAGAAAGUAGCAUAAGCAAAGUCCCUGGUGCGUAUUAACCGACUAUUAUUAUUAUCCCCUUCUGCAGGUGGGCAAACUGAGGCCCCAAGCCCUGGAGAGAUGUGCUCAGACAGAUGUGCAGGUCCCCCUACUCCAGCCCACCUGGGCUCCUGGGCUGCAGCCUUCAGCCAGCCUUCCUUCUGCCACUUUCUCCUGGAAGUCACACCUCCCUCUCUACCUCCCUCCCACAUCACAGGAGUCUGCACGCACCCAACCCAGCUCCAAAGCCUCUGACAGGAAAGAAAGGAAAAAAAAAGGCAGUCCAGCUACAAGAGGAGGAAGUGCGAAGGCCAGAGGUGGGAAUGAAUGUGGCAGGAAGAAUUGAUUUUUGAUUGCACAAGUGAGGUGAUUGCAAAAACAGCCACGGAUUCUUCCCAUCCCUGUUUGUGUGCUCUUUGCCAUGACUUUGCCGGAACUUUUAAGAGGUAUCCACCCCAUGAAUCUGGCUGGAACACGUGACUUGCUUUGGCCAAUGGGACAAUAACAGCCAUGAAUUAAGUAGAGGCUUGAAGAGCCUGUACAUGGAGCUUCCUUCUCAGGAUCCCUGCUACGGCCCCAGUGUGCAGAAGCCAAGACUAGCCUGCUGGGUAAUGAGAGACAGAUGGCUCAGUGAUUCUGGCUUCCUAGCCAAUAGCCAGCAAGCCCCAGAAGCAGAGCCACGUAGAUAAAUGGCAGAUGACUGCAGACACUUGGAGGAGCCCACCCAAGAUCAGCGAAAGAACUGCCAGGCUGAGCCUGGCCCAAAAUGCUGACCCUCAGAAUCAUUAGCUAACUGUGCAAUUGGUAUUUUAAGCCACAGUUUCUCAUCCAUAAAGUGGAAGUAAUAAUAGUGUUUUCUUACUAGGGUUUUUUUUUUUAUUGAUAGGGUUUUUAUAUAGAUUCAUUAGAGCAAUUGAGACAAAGUUCUGAAAACAACACUUAGCACAAUAAAUGUUAAUUCUUCUUUUAUAAUAAUAAUUAC